AGGAAAGACAGGAAUAGUCAGAUUGUUACACCACAAUCUCUGCCUUUUACCAUUCAAGCCUUUCAAUGGGAAGAGAAGUCUCCGUGCUCUGAAACCACCGGCAGUCCCAAGGCAGGAGAUCCUUGGGGCAGGACCAUGUGUACCACAAUGAUGGUCCUCACCACCAGUUGCUCUCAUCUUGCGGCAGAGGUUCUCCAACAAAAUCAGACCGCAGAAAGAGGUCAUUGAGAAAGACGUGCCAUACAUGAAAAGCAAUGGAGCAGCAGAAACCCAAAAAUGACAACAGGACAUGAACUAAUACCAGAGUGGGCCAUCAUCCCAAGUCUGGUGGUGAGCAUCAGUGGCCUCAGCUAUCAAGAUUUAUUUCCCCAGAUAUUAUAGGAGAGAUUUCCUGUAAUCUUUCUGUUUUUUCUUAUUCAUCUGAUUUUAACAGCUCACGCCAAGACUCCCACCAGGAGUUAAAAAAAAGAAAAGAGAAUGGGAUAGAAAAACAAUGAGGCCUGUUUUGAUCAUGACUUCCAUUAUCUUAUUAUUAUCAUGCUCUCAUAAAUGAAACGGGAAACAGCAACUGAGUGAAGUUGGGGUAAAUUCUUGCUUAGCAAAAUGAAACCUGACAAAUGCUGUGUCAUCAUGACAACUGGUUUUUAUGACAUUACAUUGUUCUCUGAUUUAGAACCACAUCAUGACUUUGUGUUUCAAUAGGGUUUCAAGUGAUAAAACAUGUUCUGUGCCUCCACAUAAAAAACUGCCACAAUUAUUUCUUUGAUGUUAUGUUUAUCUUGCUUCGAUAAAUGUAAUGAUUUGUGUUAAAUGUAUGUAUGAGGACAGGAUGAGCUUUGACUGGAUGUAUCUUCUAAGAUCUCAUAAGUGACUUGAUUUCCUCUGAAACAGGGGCUGAAGGCAUGCAUUGUACUGUACAUGGCAGGUAUGGCAAUCCUGUGUAUCUCACAGUGUUGUUGUGUUGUUCUCACAGAGAAAAACCCACUGCUCAAUGUUAUUGAGGAUUGUCCCUCAUGAAUUCCCUGAUUAUUCAUUGCAAAGGUAUACCUUCUUCUAAUAAUUACAUCAGUAACUAUUUCCACCAUAGAUUGUUGAAUGUGACAUGGUCAGUGUUGCUACCUGCCUCCAACUCGCAUCUAACAUGAUACACUGAUACUGCAGUAAAUAAAGUACUCCUUCAAAAUAAA